GACACUUUGCUCAGCUUAGCAGUUUGUAUUGAUCUCCGUGGCUCUUUUGUCUCCUCCUCCCAGUGGAAGCCUCUCCUCCUUCUCCCCCUCUCUCCCUCUGCUUUUCAGGCUCUUCCGCUUUGCUCUUCUGCUUCGAAUGAAUUGAAAUCUCCGCGAGCCGCCACGGCUCUGGUACUUUUAUAAAACUGUCCUUGCUCUCUCUGCGUUCGUCCAGUCAAGGGUAUCUUUGCCUGAGGUCGGAAUGGUGCUGUUAGUCCCGGUGAUGAUUGCAUAGCAACACAGAGCAGCUCGGAGAGGGCGGAGGAGGAGGAGGAGGAGGAGGAGGAGGAGGAGGAGGAGGAGGAGGAGGAGGAGGAGGAGGGAGAGACAGGGAGAGUGUGCACACAGCAGCUGUCGGCAUCCCUGUCUGAGGGACUUCUUUGCUGAUUCACAGAGGCAGCCUAGCCUGGGCCUCCCAGCUUCCCAGCUACUGCCUGCUUCGCAGACCUGACGGAAUCAGAAGGUGCUUGAUGCUCCACAGUUGGUCUGCUGCCAAUCCCCACCCUCCAUGAGCCUUGGUUCUGAUGCAACCUUUGGUCAUGCAGGGAUGCCCUUACACCCUCCCACGAUGUCAUGAGUGGCAUGCUGCUGACCGGUUUCAUCACAGCAGCAGCCUCCGAAACACCUGUCCCCAGCCUCAGAGUAGGCUCGCUCAGAGCUCCUCAAGAUUCUGCCUGUCUGCACUCACCAGACGCGAGGUCCAGAUUCCUGCUGAGGGAAAACCAUGGACAGCCCUGAUCCUGCCAUGGACUCCUCAGGCAGCACAGGUUAGAGCUGCGGUCACCAUCCCUGCUCCACCUUGGGAUGGUGCCGGGGAUCCCUGCCUAAGUCCAAAGCUCUUGAACGGGACUGUUGGAGCCACCGGGCCCCUGGAGCCAUCAGCCAUGAAUCUGUGUUGGAAUGAAAUAAAAAAGAAGUCUCACAACCUCCGCGCUCGCCUAGAGGCCUUCUCAGACCUCAGUGGAAAACUUCAGCUCCCGCUCCGAGAGAUUAUUGACUGGCUCAGCCAAAAGGAUGAGGAGUUGUCAGCUCAGCUCCCCUUGCAAGGGGAUGUGGCCCUGGUACAACAGGAGAAGGAGACACAUGCAGCCUUCAUGGAAGAAGUCAAGUCUAAGGGCCCCUACAUCUCCUCUGUGCUUGAAUCCGCCCAGGCUUUUCUGUCCCAGCAUCCAUUUGAAGAAUUAGAGGAGUCUCAAUCUGAGAGUAAAGAUACCUCCCCCAGACAGCGGAUUCAAAACCUUAGUCGCUUUGUAUGGAAGCAGGCAACAGUGGCCAGUGAGCUGUGGGAGAAGCUGACAGCCCGCUGUGUAGAUCAGCAUCGCCACAUUGAGCAUACUCUGGAACAUCUAUUGGAGAUCCAAGGGGCAAUGGAGGAAUUGAGCAGUACUUUGACCCAAGCAGAGGGAGUCCGAGCCACGUGGGAGCCCAUAGGAGAUCUCUUUAUUGAUUCCCUCCCAGAGCAUAUCCAAGCCAUCAAGCUAUUCAAAGAAGAAUUCUCUCCUGUGAAAGAUGGGGUGAAGUUAGUGAAUGAUCUGGCCCACCAGCUUGCCAUCUCUGAUGUGCACUUGUCAAUGGAGAAUUCCAGGGCUCUGGAACAGAUCAACAUCCGGUGGAAACAGCUCCAGGUGUCAGUGGCUGAGAGGCUUAAGCAACUCCAGGAUGCCCACCGGGACUUUGGGCCUGGGUCACAGCACUUCCUCUCCACUUCUGUCCAAGUUCCCUGGGAAAGAGCAAUUUCUCCCAAUAAAGUCCCCUACUACAUCAACCACCAGGCUCAGACCACAUGCUGGGACCAUCCUAAGAUGACUGAGUUAUACCAAACCCUAGCCGAUCUGAACAACAUUAAGUUCUCAGCUUACCGCACUGCCAUGAAGCUCCGCAGAGUCCAGAAGGCCCUGCGCCUGGAUCUGGUAACUUUAACUACAGCUCUGGAGAUCUUCAAUGAGCAUGACUUGCAGGCCAGUGAACAUGUGAUGGAUGUGGUGGAGGUCAUUCACUGCUUGACUGCCUUGUAUGAACGACUGGAGGAGGAAAGAGGCAUCCUGGUCAAUGUGCCACUGUGUGUAGACAUGAGCCUCAACUGGCUCCUCAAUGUUUUUGAUAGUGGUCGCAGUGGAAAGAUGCGAGCAUUGUCCUUUAAGACUGGCAUCGCAUGCCUGUGUGGCACGGAAGUGAAAGAAAAACUUCAGUGUGAGUACAACUCCUGCCUCUGCAGUGAUGUUGGGUGGGGGAGGGGUGUGGCAAGGGGAGAAAGGAGGGAGACGGUAGGAUCAGCAAAGUUUCCAUCUUGUGACUCAGCAGAGGGGUACUUGGUCACCUUGUGAUGAUUUUCAGUCCCCAGGUGCAUUUUUCUGGGGACGUAGGUGAGGUUUGAAGCAAUAGAUUUUAUGUUGAGGGGUUUGCUAAGGUUGCUGGCUCGGCCUUGAGGAGGUUCUAGAAUUGCUGCUCUCUCUUGAGGGUGGGAAAAUCUGCCCAGCAUGUGUUUCCACACCAAGGAAGCAACUGCUUUCCCAGUGCUGUAGCAUCCACAUCUGGCACUACCCUUACUUAGCUCUGUCUGCUUGCUGUCUGUGUUCUCUCUCUCUCCCCUUCUCUGAUCUUCUCUCUCUCUCUCUCACACUCUCUCUCUCUCUCUCUCUCUCUCUCUCACCCCCUGCCUCCUCAUUGAUAUCCAUUUGUUUCUCCUGUGCUCCUGUAUUUGUCUCUUUAUCAUUCUCUCCUCUGUUCGCUCCCUCCCUGCCCUUUUCCCCUCCCAUCCUUUCUCAUUGAUGAUGCCCUCUUUGUGUCUGUCUCAUUCCCCCACCCAAACUCAGGAAUGCUCUUUUUCAAACCCUUGGGAGUUGAGAUAGGGGAUGGGUUUCUGGGCUUUCUUUCAAGUUAUCAGUUCAACAGUGCAGUAUGCUCUUUCUCUGUCAUCCUUUUCUGCUUCUUCUUCCAUGUACCAUUCUCUGGUCAUUCCUAAACUGGGUCUGGCUACUGUCGAUGAUGGGCCCAGCAGAUCUCUUCAGCCAAGUAGCCAAUUCAGGCAGCCAGUGUGAUCAACGCCAUCUCGGUGCCCUGCUUCAUGAAGCCAUUCAAGUGCCCCGUCAGCUGGGUGAAGUGGCAGCAUUUGGGGGCAGCAAUGUGGAGCCCAGUGUCCGUAGCUGCUUUCGCUUUAGCACUGGCAAGCCAGUCAUUGAAGCUUCCCAAUUCCUGGAGUGGGUCAACUUGGAGCCCCAGUCUAUGGUGUGGCUGGCUGUUCUGCAUCGGGUCACCAUCGCUGAGCAAGUGAAGCAUCAAACCAAGUGCUCUAUCUGUAGACAGUGCCCCAUCAAAGGGUUCAGGUACCGGAGUCUGAAACAGUUUAACGUGGAUAUCUGCCAGACCUGCUUCUUGACCGGCAGGGCCAGCAAAGGCAACAAGCUCCACUAUCCCAUCAUGGAGUAUUACACACCGACCACAUCUAGUGAAAACAUGAGGGACUUUGCCACAACCUUAAAGAAUAAAUUCCGCUCCAAGCAGUAUUUCAGCAAACACCCUCAGCGAGGUUAUCUGCCCGUGCAGUCAGUUCUGGAGAGCGACUGCAGUGAGACACCUGCUUCUUCCCCGAUGUUGCCACACGCUGACACACACUCUCGAAUUGAACAUUUUGCCAGCAGGCUUGCUGAGAUGGAAAGUCAAAAUUGUUCCUUUUUUAAUGACAGCCUGUCCCCGGAUGAUAGCAUCGAUGAGGACCAGUACCUGUUGCGGCACUCCAGCCCCAUCACAGACCGAGAGCCGGCCUUUGGACAGCAGGCUCCAUGCAGCAUGGCCACAGAAAGCAAGGGGGAGCUAGAGAAGAUCUUGGCCCAUUUAGAAGAUGAGAACCGGAUUCUCCAGGGAGAGCUGAGGCGCCUGAAAUGGCAGCACGAGGAGGCAGCCGAGGCACCUACCCUGGUUGAGGGCUCUGCUGAAGCCACCCCAGACCACCGCAAUGAAGAACUUCUGGCUGAAGCCAGGAUCCUGCGGCAGCACAAAAGCCGCCUGGAGACGCGCAUGCAGAUCCUUGAAGACCACAACAAGCAGCUCGAGUCUCAGCUGCAACGCCUGAGGGAGCUGCUCCUGCAGCCACCCAGUGAAUCAGAUGGCAAUGGCUCUGCAGGCUCCUCCCUAGCUUCCUCUCCACGCCAGUCAGAAGGCAGUCAUCCCCGGGAGAAGGGACAGACUACUCCAGACACUGAGGUUGCAGAUGAUGUGGGGUCAAAGAGUCAGGAUGUCAGCCUAUGCUUAGAAGACAUCAUGGAGAAGCUCCGCCAUGCCUUCCCCAGUGUGCGAAGCUCUGAUGUGACUGCAAACACUCUGCUGGCCUCUUGAUGGAGUCAGAGCCCCAUCCUGUAGCUCAUAGUCCUUUCCCCAUUCUUGUCAAUGCCUUCCUUCCCUUAACCUUUGCCCAAACUUUCCAGGAACCACUGGCCCCACGUUCCUCAGCCAGAGAUGUUUGGGCCUGGGGCAGCAGCAGAGAUCUAAUGGUAUGUGAGAUGUGGUCGGGGAAGAGGGGAGGAGAGGUGUGCUUCCUCUGACUCUAGAAAUGUCCUCGAUAAUCCUUAAGAUUGAGCUUGUCCCUCAAUGUUAGUCUGCUCUUGCAGCCCAGACGAAGGCACUUGUCACCCAGAUAAGGAGCAGAAAGUUACCUUGCAGAGCUAAGCAGUGCCCACUGGUCCCUUUCACUUCUUCAUGGAAUCAUAGAAUUGAAAGACUAAUGGCCCCAAGGUCCUGAAUUAUUGAUUCCCCCAAGGGUUAUUCCUACCCUCUGGCUCAACUGAAAGAGACAAAUGGUUAUCACUGAGAUAGUCCUCCAAAAUGCCCCUUGGGAAGUCUGGGCAGUUUAUGUCCUAUUAAUUCAGCUCCGGAGCAUAGUUCUCAACUCUCAUUCUAUCUACAUGGUGUUUUCCUCCCGUGUCUUUGAUUUAUCCUGCCACAGUACAUACCAGAGCUUCUCUGGUGAAGGAACAAUUCACUGUAGAUGUGCUUCCACCCGAUAUUUGGAAACAUUAAAGAAAUACUUGUUUCUUUAUAUCCCCUUUCCCCAUGCUCCUGUUUCCUGAUGGUCUUGGCAUCCCAAGAGACUCAUUGAGAUGCUCUGGAAACCCAUCUGAAGCCACUCUUUUUGGUUUUCUGAGUCUCUCCUCACUGAUCUGCUAGCAGGAGUGGCAGCUUCUUCAACAAAGAGGCCUCUCUCUCUCUCUCUCUCUCUCUCUCUCUCUCUCUCUCUCUCUCUCUCUCUCUCUGUCUUGUGUGAGAAAGGAAAAGAAACCCUCUAUCCUAGGGGAGUAUGGGCCUGACGCUCUCCAGGACAUAACCAUGUGAUAGCAUAGGUUGGACUGGGUGAGAUGGCUGAUUGCCCCCAGAUAUUCACUGGAAAGUUCCAACUGACCAGCCUGAAUAAUGAUCUCUGCUUCAAAGCUACUAGACUUGAAUCAGAAAACUGGCCACAUUCCACCCAAGAUGGAAUAGCAGCAAGGUCUUCCUGCACAUAAAACUGUUGCUAACACUGAAAGGUGAACCCAGUCCUCAAAAUGAGUUAACUUUUCCUAGGCUGUAUAUACUCUGACUCCUCUGUCCAGCAACUGUUCAAAGUAGAGUGUGGAUGUGGAAAGAGUGGCUUGGGGAACGUGGAGCAGAGGCAGAGUGCAUUUAGACUACUUUCUACCGAGGAGAGCUUUCACCCCAGAGCCUUGCAAUGGACUAAAUUUUGAGUUUAUGUGUAUAUAUAUACACACACACAUAUAUACAUAUAUAUAACAUAAUUCUACAUAUAUACUGUACAUCAGUGCUCUCCCAGCCUUACUCACAUAUUAAAUUCUAAUAGUUCUUAAAGAAUUAGUGUCCUGCCUUGCUCUUUGUUAGCCUCAGUCUCUAGCGGAAAGAUGAAGGAAGGCAUCCUGGCUGUGCCCUUAGGAUGCUUUUCUCUACACUGAUAUUUGAGGUAAAUUGACCUUUAGACCAAUCCAAGGAAGAUCUAGCCACAGAGACAUCUAACAGGGAGAGGCAUUCUGUUCUCUUCACUAAUUUCAGACUUUGUUCCACUGAGACUUGGGCCUUGGGUAAAAAUUUCUUACCACCCUUAAACAAUGAUUCAGAAACCAAAAUAGAGCACACCCAAGCUCUACCCACUCUACAAAAAGGAAGUACAAAGGGCAUAUGUUAGCCUUUGCCAGGCUAAGACAUAGAAUGCAUCCUAUGCCCCUUAUUAGGUCCUAAGGUCUGAAUCAUGGCCUUACAGUAUGCAGUGGUUGUCAUCAGUCAGGAGAGAGUGAGAUGUUUCUAGAGUUCUGUGUUAUAAACCAAGCCACAGCAAACACAUGGAACUGCUAGGAAUCUAGAUUGAUCUGUUCCAGGAAGGUAGAGCAGUAGCUUGGCUCCAAAAGCCUGGAUUGCAUUCUCCCCAACCAAGCCACAGAUCCAAGGGUCAAAUUUCAUGCCUGGAGGUCUCUUGGAAGUACUGGGUAUCUGCUUAUAUUUCGAGCAUUUAAAGGCUAGCAUCAAACACAGAACUGAGUCAUAAGUCAGAAUAAGGCAUCUUUGUAGGAGCCUAGAUUGUGGGCAGAGUUCAGACAAAUUUGUUGUGGAACAGAGGACUCAGAAACUAUGAAGCAUGUGCCUCCCUGUGCCUUAGGAGCACAGACACUAUUAAACAAUCUAAGAGACCUGCUUAAAACCUCUACUUGAGCUCUGAGGCCACCCAGGUCUGUGACAAUUUUAUUAGAACUGACUUGGUAGAAAAGAUGUUGAUCUUGUUAUGUAGGAUUUGUGCUGGAUGUAGACCGAAGCAGCAGGUCAAGAUUGAAGUCUCACUAAAGGAGUCACCAGCAUUUUGCCAUCUUGUGCUUACCUGUAAUGCCUCCAAAUGAAUCUAUUGCUUAGGGAUCCAGUAGCAGUCACUGCUCCAUAUGUAGGCAAGUUGCCUGCAGUGAUGAAAAUGGCUCCUUGGACGGUGUGAAUUCACACAGGUUGAAUUUAGUAAAAUGUGUUCUAUGUUACUGGGUAUGUGGUAUGCUGAAGCUCUUGUAUAAUGUAUAGCCCUAGAGUUGAAGGUAGUGAAGGAGUUGCUGGAUUAGAGUCUAAGGAAAACCUUUGGACUUAUGAGAUAGCAUCCGUGAUGAGGAAUGUGUAUACUGGAUUUGUCAUCAAAUAGUGUAGGCAAUUUAUUCUGGACAGAAUUUGAUAGAGAACAAUAAGCCAGUGAGAGGGUAGGUGUGCUUUUGGCUCAAGCAGCGUGCCUUCACAUUGAUUGGCAAUUGUUAGGGAAGGCUGACUGGCUAGAAGACAUAAGGCUGUGGUAUGUAGUUCCAUAGAGAGUUUUCUACCCAGGCGGACAUGUGCCCUUCUCUUCAGAAAGCAAGGGUGAGAAUCAAGGUUCUCAAUGUUUCUCACAAGGCCCAGGCUCAGGCAGUACUUCACAGUGGAGAAACCUGAUUGAGAUUUCAGGUGUUUUAUGAACUGCUCUGGCAGGCCACAAUAGUGAAAGAACAAACCAAGGGGCAAGGCAGAGGCAAAGCCUGGGAGAUUUUUUUUUUUUUACCACCCGAUUAAUUUUAAGGACUACCAUUCCUUCCUGGGAUAUGUGUUUUUUAAGGGUUUGGGGGUUCAGUCCCCAGCUUCAGACUAGAACAUUUGUUUGAAAGCAACAUUUUCAGCGGCAGAGUUGUGGACUAUUUUCUGUUAUUAAUUCCAUCCAACUUCCUUUGGUACUUUGACAAAUAACCAAUGAAGUUAGGAACGGUCCUGGGAGAGAACCUAAGGCAUUGCCCUAAGGCUGUGAAAGUUUAGCUCCUCGGCUGGAUAGCCCAAUCUGUGGGCCUCCCUGCAGAAACCUGGGACUUGGGACAAAGAAAUACUUCAGUAAUUCCUCACUGUUUUAACACUUGUGACUGUGGAGAGGGGAAAAAGUCAAAGCCAGGGCUCCUCUCCCAGUGUCCUUCUCCUCCUUUAGCCGCCAUUUUUGGAAGAAGACCUGCUGAAUGUCCUUGCUCUUCCCAAGGCAGUAUUAAAGGCAGACUGCAAGAACACAUCACAAGGACAGAAAUCAGGGGAUUGGGGAGGUGUCAAGGGUGGCAUGCAAAUGUAGAAAAGUUUGGGAUAAAGGGGGCUAGGAGCAAAUGGGUUAACUUCAGUUGCCACUCACUGUGGUGCUUUUCCCACUUUAUCCUUGAAUUCUGCUUUGAAGAAUAAAUUUGUAUUUGUUUAC